UCCAUCAUGGUGUAACGGUAACAUCGCUCGCUUUCACCGAGCAGCCCCGGGUUCGACUCCCGGUGAUGGAA